AUAUACAUCCAUCCACAUGAGGCCCCCAAAUAACGGGACUCAGCUGAGACCAACCUCAGAGAGCCCCGAGGGAGAUGAAGUGCAGCGUGGGCUUGAUCCGCGGCGAAGCCAGCUGACCUUAGGUUGACCAAACUCUCAAUCGUACUGGUGGUGAGCUAAGAGGUCAGACGGGGUUGCUGCCUGACGAGAGAGUGCCAAGAGUCUUCAGAACAACAAGGAUUCACGCAUCCUGUGGGUCAAAGACGACCUUUUACUCACCACCGGCUUUGAUAUGAUGCGUGGUCGGGAGGCGAGGCUUUGGGACAGCAGGAAGCUGAGCUCUUCCAUCAGCUCGACGACACUCGGCACCGCCAGCGGG